UUUUCCUCCUCUGAAGCAUCUUCACUGACUGGAGCAGAAUCAGGUGUGUCUAGAAUAUCAAACAAAUUUUUUUGCAUAAGCACUAUACGUAAGUUUCUCAGUCAGUCCACAUAAUUGGGACCAAUCAGCUUAUUUGCAUCAAGGAUGAAACGUAGUGAGAGUGAAGUAGCCAUAAUGCAGAGUUUUAAUCUACAAAAAUUAAGAAUAAUCAUAUAAGCAAACG
rnacentral:lncRNA from 1 species